CGCAUCCGCCAUCCGGUCCAGCCGUGUCGCGGAAGGUUUGAUCAACCAGCUAGAUGUUCCCUCAAGGGGAACGGAGGUCAGCG
rnacentral:ncRNA from 1 species